CUAGGAGAAAGAAGUAAGAAUGACGGCAGGAAGGUGUGGGUGUUGUUUUGCAGUACUUGCUAAUAAUUAGCUGUCCUGUUGUGGAAGGCUGGGAUGAGCUGUGUUAAUGAUAUAGCUUAAUGAAAAUGACAGGAGACUGGCAAAAAAGGGGUGGACAGGGAGGGGAACAUCUUGUCUGAAUUAGUGCGACAGCUGGUGUCUUGAGAAACUGGCUGAAUGAACUGUGUUGUCCCAGAGGAAGUGGGAGCUGAUGGGGAAGCUAUUCAUGAUUUUUUUCAUAGACCUUAAAAUGUAGUUGUGCGCUAUUUUAUUUUUUAUUUAAAACAUUUGUAGCUUAUUCUCUAUUGCAGGAUCUCAGGAUGGGUUACAAAACUGCAUGAAGCAAUUUUUAAAAAUAAAAAAAAACUAUUUAAAGUCAGACCAAUUAAAACAUAACUUUAAAGCAUUAAAACCAAAAUCUGUACAGCCCACACAGCCCUUAACAAGGCAGAAGGUUCUAUAGCUUGUGUGUGUGUGUGUUUGUUUGUUUGUUUCCUGAGAACCUCUAUUCUGAAUUGAAGAAUGCUACUUUACGCCUGUAUGGAUAGUGGCCUCUAAUCAGAAGCGUCUUUUUCUUCCUGGUUCCUUCUCUGCAGUUGCUUUUCUUCAGCUGCGACUUAGCUGGUCUCCUUCCCAGCUUUUACAGGGAUGGUUCUAGCAUUGCAUCAGGGGAUAUUUUAUGCUGUAAUUCAGUAACGCAGCCAGGAUAAGCGAUCACAGAACUGCUGCUUAAGGGGAUGGGCGUGGUGAGCUGAGCUGCGUGGAUGCAGCAGCAACAGCACCAACGGCCGAGGCACGGUUGGCCUGUAUGUGUCCGUUCUUUCCAAGAAGUGAUCUCCCAGGUUAGGGGUUCCUCAGCCAAGGCAAAGGAUGGUCUGGAUAUUCAGCCAGUCGGUAGUCUUAUUGGACUCUGGAUCAAAGUCACAGGUGACCUCACUGCUUCAUUUGCUACCAGCCUCCUUCCAACCUCUAGUUUAAACAGAUGCCUUUGAUUAUGCUCUUGGUUUUGAAGAGAAUGCUGACGGUUUUAAUUUCCACAGUCAAGCCUAUAUUUAAGUGGAGGGGCCUAAGUUCUGUGGUUAUCUCAGUGGUUACCUUUUCUCCUACAAGGAGACAGAUGGGCCUGGACCCAAACCCGUAGUAAUCCAAGCAUCCUGAUUUGGCAGUGUCGAAUCUCAUGAGAGCGUCUAUUGUGAAGGGAGGAGCACGUGUUCUGAAUGUGAGAGCUUGCCAGCAGUGGAAAGCCAAUCCAGAGCUAUCCUUCACGUCCAGUAUGGUUUAAAAAUCCUGAUAGCAGUUUGCCAGAUUUUAAAAUGUAAGUUGAAACUGUCAGUCAGACAACACAUAAGUCUGCCAAGGAAUAUUUAAUUGGGAACAAGUGGAGAAGCUCCUUUUUACACUAGAAAAAAAAAGAAACCUUAUGGCUUCUUACAGUAAAUUUGAUGCAUCAAGCUUGGCUUUUAUGUCCUUAAUGAAAAGCCAGGUCUGAAUAAUUCAUGACACUAAUUCAAACUUGGGGGUUUAUGAAGGAACUCUGACUUGGAAAAGGCUGCAGCCUGGCCUUCCUUUGUGUUCCGCUUUCCCCUGUCAUGGUCUGGGUAUCCAAAUGUGUAAGCGUGACAUCAUAGGUCAGGGGCUGAACUUCCACGCGUUUUCAUCCUUACUCAGUCUCUGAAAUAACCAUGAGGCUUAAUGUGAACCUGCUGUUCACGUUGACGGCGUCCAUUUUAGAUCUUCCAAGAGACUUUCUUAGGGGUUUCACCAG
rnacentral:lncRNA from 1 species